rfam:Ictidomys tridecemlineatus contig078241, whole genome shotgun sequence.
GGGAGUGUAGUUUAGUAGUAGAGCACUUGCUUAGCAUGCAGGAAGCCCUGGGUUUGACCCAGCACUACAA